GCGAUGGAGAUCACAGCACUUAGACUAACAUGGGAACCAUCCAGAGAAGAUCAGCACGGCCCAUGAACGUGGAUGACACACGCCCAUGCGUGAAGCGUUCCAUAGUUUU
rnacentral:snRNA from 1 species